rnacentral:lncRNA from 1 species
AGGGUCCAUGGACAUUUACUGAAACUCUUUACAAUACAUAGUAGUUUGUCCUGGGUUGCAGCAUAAUGUGUUAUAUCCAAAAAAUAGAGUGCUAUCCAAAAAUAGAGUGAUUUAUACAAGGGAAAUUUCAGAUAUUCAUAUAGUUUUGAUUAUCUUAACACUAUUAUGGCUAUUGUUAUUCUAAAUUAAAUAAACUAAUACCAAUGUAUCUGACUUGACCAUUGUAACUUAAUACUGCAAUGUCAGUGUCACCAUAAGCAUAUAGCUAUGUCUAAUCUAAGAAGGGUGAGUGUAUUUUUGAUCAAAAAUAUAUGAAAAUCCGCACAGUUUUAUAUACUGGGUUGGCUAUACAGUCUAUUUUAUGUGAUAGAUAAAACAACUCCUAUUAUUUCCUGUGAACAGUGUGCAUGUCUGGACUAGCCACAUCGGAACAAUGAUGGCGUGGUCGUAGAUGUUAUGCAAGAGGACAGGAAGCCUGGGAAGAGUACCAUGUAGAGAUUCAGCUGAGACCUGGGCUUUAGUGGAAGUGAUGCUGGGACGCAAAGGGUCUUGUGACCAGGUGGGACAUUGCUCGGGAGGUGGACAAGGAUUCUGUGGAGGAGAGGACUCUUCUCUCUGAGGAUGUUCAUGUUUCAGCAGAAGUCACCCUCUGAAAAGGACAAAAUGAUUAUGGCAAACAUCUUAAACGCUAGGAUGCCUGUAAAUGCAGAAUUUAUUUACUGAGAUUCAAGCUUCAAGCUAUCCUCUUAACAUUAACUUCCUAGCUGAAGAAAUGGAUAUUGGUUUUAAUGGUUAAGAAAUUAUGAGGAGGGAGGUAUUUGCUGCCACUUUGGACUACUGUUAGCAUGUCUGAUUUACAGCCAUUAUAACAAUUGAAAAAUAUGUGUCAUUGCCUCAUUGAUCAGUAGUCAAAGCGAUGGCGAUAAGAAAGAAUGUGGAGAUCAGCAUUUAUUAUGCUAUAAAAACAACACCUUGUCUUCUUGAAAUGACUGUAAAAUAAUAAUAGCUUGUUCAUUUGUUUACCUUCAGGAAGAAAAAUCAGAACUCAGGUAGGUUGUGGUGCAGAUGCUAUAGUAUUGGGCACUUAAGAAAUAUAUUCAAUAAUUAAUAAUGACUUGUGAAGUGAAAAAAACCCUGGGUGAACUUAAUAUCUGUAAAGGAAUAGGUAAGAGCUGGCCAUAUGAAUUGACUGUCCCUUCUGAAAAAUUAACUUGUUUGCACAGUCUUGUUUAGGCAGUAGAGAGAAAAUAAGAAAAGAUACGUGAAAGAAUGAUCUUUUUGGAAGACUGGAUGCAAAAAUGCAGAAUUAGGCUGUUAUUUAUGUUGGUGGAAUGAUUUAUCUUAUGUAAAGAAUAAUGUAAGGAUAACAAAAGAAAUCUAAAUUUCAUCUAGGAUUAUUUAAAGGUUUGCUUGAGGCCAUAUUGUGUUUCUUGUUUUCCUAAUUAACAAAUCAUCACUGCACAAAGCAACACAGGUGGUCAGUCCCCUUGGGGGUCACAUCAAAGGGGCCACCAUGAAGCUUUAGAUGUUAUUCAAAAGCAAUCUGAAACUUGUCUCUCACUGAUUGUCCUAUCUAUUGUAGUCCACAGGGUCAUCUUUAAAGGAGUGUUUAGUUUGCAA